rnacentral:rRNA from 4 species
CAGGAACCGUACCCCAAACCGACACAGGUGGUUGGGUAGAGAAUACCAAGGCGCUUGAGAGAACUCGGGUGAAGGAACUAGGCAAAAUGGCACCGUAACUUCGGGAGAAGGUGCGCCGAUGAGGGUGAAGCAUUUACUGCGUAAGCUCACGUCGGUCGAAGAUACCAGGCCGCUGCGACUGUUUAUUAAAAACACAGCACUCUGCAAACACGAAAGUGGACGUAUAGGGUGUGACGCCUGCCCGGUGCCGGAAGGUUAAUUGAUGGGGUUAGCUAACGCGAAGCUCUUGAUCGAAGCCCCGGUAAACGGCGGCCGUAACUAUAACGGUCCUAAGGUAGCGAAAUUCCUUGUCGGGUAAGUUCCGACCUGCACGAAUGGCGUAACGAUGGCGGCGCUGUCUCCACCCGAGACUCAGUGAAAUUGAAAUCGCUGUGAAGAUGCAGUGUAUCCGCGGCUAGACGGAAAGACCCCGUGAACCUUUACUAUAGCUUUGCACUGGACUUUGAAUUUGCUUGUGUAGGAUAGGUGGGAGGCUUUGAAGCGUGAACGCCAGUUUGCGUGGAGCCAUCCUUGAAAUACCACCCUGGCAACUUUGAGGUUCUAACUCAGGUCCGUUAUCCGGAUCGAGGACAGUGUAUGGUGGGUAGUUUGACUGGGGCGGUCUCCUCCUAAAGAGUAACGGAGGAGUACGAAGGUGCGCUCAGACCGGUCGGAAAUCGGUCGUAGAGUAUAAAGGCAAAAGCGCGCUUGACUGCGAGACAGACACGUCGAGCAGGUACGAAAGUAGGUCUUAGUGAUCCGGUGGUUCUGUAUGGAAGGGCCAUCGCUCAACGGAUAAAAGGUACUCCGGGGAUAACAGGCUGAUACCGCCCAAGAGUUCAUAUCGACGGCGGUGUUUGGCACCUCGAUGUCGGCUCAUCACAUCCUGGGGCUGAAGCCGGUCCCAAGGGUAUGGCUGUUCGCCAUUUAAAGUGGUACGCGAGCUGGGUUUAGAACGUCGUGAGACAGUUCGGUCCCUAUCUGCCGUGGACGUUUGAGAUUUGAGAGGGGCUGCUCCUAGUACGAGAGGACCGGAGUGGACGAACCUCUGGUGUUCCGGUUGUCACGCCAGUGGCAUUGCCGGGUAGCUAUGUUCGGGAAAGAUAACCGCUGAAAGCAUCUAAGCGGGAAACUUGCCUCAAGAUGAGAUCUCACUGGAACCUUGAGUUCCCUAAAGGGCCGUCGAAGACUACGACGUUGAUAGGUUGGGUGUGUAAGCGCUGUGAGGCGUUGAGCUAACCAAUACUAAUUGCCCGUGAGGCUUGACCAUAUAACACCCAAGCAAUU